UGGGAAUCUUCACAAUUGUGCUAUGGCUAAUGCAUCACCUCUGUCAGCUGAAUUACUUCCAAGCAGAUCCUCCUCCUCUCCCAUAAUUCCAGAUUUCAAGUUUUCCCAGCCUCCAACAAUGUCAGGGUAGCAAGGAAAGGACUUUGGAGUCAGAAAGACUCCAUGUUCGGGACCUGCUACUUCCUAACCAUGUCACCGUUGGGACCAAAUAUAGACCAUGACAAUAGAGCAGCAUCAGAUAUGGUGAAAAUCAUAAUGCUGGUCUCCUUACAAAAUCAUGAUACUGAAACAGAAGAGGCAAACAAGGUAACAUGCAGCACUAAGUGAAGUCAAUUUUGUGAAAGCAGUGAAUUAAAGUCACAUGCGAGACCCCAGGAGCGACCAGCAGAAGAACCACCUGCCUGAUCCCAACCCAAAUUGCUGACCUGUAGAACUGUGGGCCAUUUCAUAGUUUUGUGUUUCAAAACCAUAAAAAACCAAAAGUGAUGGUUUUCUCUGCAGUGAUAGAUACGUACUACAGAAAUCUUUGGAGUUUCAAAUAAGGUGUGAAAUAAAAUUUUUAUCGUUUAAAGACCUGUUUAAUCCCAAAUAUACUGAUGAAUCCAUCCAUAAAAACCAUGGUCUUCAGGGGUGCCUGGGUGGCUCAGUCAGUUAAGCGUCUGACUUUGGCUUAGGUCAUAGUCUCAUGGUCCGUGGGUUCGAGCCCCAUGUUGGGCUCUGUGCUGACAGCUCGAAGCUUGCAGCCUGCUUCAGAUUCUGCCUCCCUCCGUCUCUCUGCCCCUCCCUAGCUCACACUCUGUCUCUCUCUCUCAAAAUUAUAAAGAGUUUUUAAAAAACAUGGUCUUCAAGCUUUCUAAAAAAGAUAAAAAUAUUAUAGCCUUGAUUAGAGACAGUGCAGCUUACAAGUCUAUGCUGGGUCACAGGGGUCUUAGUCCCUUCGCUUCAAAAUGAAAUCUUAGCCUCAAGCAUAUUAAAACCAUGUGAAACCACAAACACUAGACAAAAAAAAAAGAGCCAAAAGUCAUUUGACUCUUUACCCUAUUUCAGCUAAAAAUAGUAUGAGAAAAAUUCUGAUGAAAACCAAGAUAGCAUUUUAGACCAGCAUUAUGAAAUGUGUUUCUAAAGAAGAUUAAAAAGGAAGUAUCUGUGAGUCCUAAACUGUGGCGUUUAGAUUCUGUGUUAUGCUGAAAUAAUCAAGGAACCAUUACAUCAUUCUUAAAAAUGUGAAAGACUGAAAGAUGAUCUUUGAACAUACAAUCUUGGAAAUAACUUGAAAACAACCAGCACUGUUAAAAUAUAAAAAGCUAUUUUGUGAAAAAAUUCUGUAAUUAGUGAAAGCCAAGAUGUUUGCUCUUGCUGUGCAUAAUUAUUUGAUCUGCAGAGAAAUGAGAUUCACUUUUGUUAUAUAAAUAGCAUUAUUUUUUAAAUGGUUCUUUAAGUGAUAAUAUUUAACCAGGCUUUAUGGCUAUUUAUUCAUAGUACCUCAUAGUACUUUCCAUUAAUUUCUCAAGGAUGUUAACAUUAUCUUCCUGGGGUGUUCAUCAUCAUGUUUGAUCACAUAUUUUGGUCAGAUGGUAUAUGGCUUGACAGAAAACUAUGCAUAAUACUUUCAAAAUGAGUUUAUUUAAUUCCAAUGUCUUAUAAUCAUCUUAUAUUUCAAUAUCUUAUAGCAAGGGUGGGAAAACAUGGAAGAGAAAUAAUUUAGAGAAGUUCUUGCCCCACCAUUCCAAGCCAAGUUUGCCCACUCAGUGUAGGACAGCAGAGAAAGAAAAGAAGGGUAGAAACAGACAAGAAAGGAGAAAGGAGAAUCCAAGUGAAGUAAGGGGAAAUAUGAUAAAAAAUAAAGAAAGGAAAUUAGAUGAGGAAAAAAGGGGAGAUGAGAAGGCCAGAUCCUUGAGCAAGAGAUUUAGGCUUUCACAAACAGCAUGUCAAGCAGUGACUACCCAGCUGUUGUGUAACUAUUAGGGUUCCUUCAAUUUUGCACCUGUAGCUCAUUCUGGCAAAUCUUAGCCUCUUUUGGAUCAUGGACAACUUUGAGAAUAUGAUGACAGCUAUAAAAUGUAGAUAGAUCCUCUCUCCAGGCAGAAGUAAACAUAUACACUUACCUUUUACUUCACAUUUUCUGGGGGGUGUUCUAUAAAAUUUGGUGUUCUAUCCCUAAUUGAGAAGUUUCCAAGUCUCAUAUCAAGGCACUUGGGUAACUACCCCCACACCAACAUUACCUGGAACCUCAGUGGUUUUACCUGGCUUCAGGAUCCAACCAUAAUUGCUCCUCUUUCCUGUGAUACUCUCUCCACAUGAAAUUUGUGGCAAGGUGAGCGCUUUGCUAGAAAAACUUGGUCUCCUCCCCCAGGAGUAAAGGAGGCUACUUCUACUCUGCCACAAGCCAUGACUGAAAGGCGGUGCUAUCCACCCUCAUUUGAGAAAUUUAAGGAAGAAAGGAAAUAGAUUCACCUGGCAACAACUGCUAAGCCAAUCUGCAAAUACUACAAAUAUGGCUGAAAGAGCUGAAAGUCUCUUAAGUUGGUGGUAUGUCUUAAUUAUUUGACUGAAUUCAAACUUUAUUUCACAAUCCAGACAUUAGGAGUGGAGAUGUGUAUGUGGAGUGAUAAAGUUAAUUCAGAUAUCAGGACCCACAGAAUGAAGGCAGCCAGAGUGGCCCAACCCACACCCCAAAUCUAAACCUAAGUUAGCCUGCACAUAGAGAAAAAACACCUGUCAAGGAAACCUAAAAUACACUAAUUACAGUCCUGCACCUCAGCUUUAGCUAGCUUACCUUACCCUGGAAAGUACAACCUGCUCAACUUCUAGGAAAAUCCCCAACCUCCUAGCCAAUCAUGCCUUGUUUCCGUAUUGCCGCCUCUAAUGCUCUAUAAAACUCCCACUUGCCCCAAAUCCUUUGGGAACAGUGUUCCACGGCUUGUGAGGCACUGUACUGCCUCCAUGGGCUGUUUUCCCUGGGAUAAAGGACAUGAAACUCAUUACUAAAUUGUUUUAAUUUUUAAAAAAUUAAAAGUAAAAGUAAAUUGUUUCAUUUUGUCAUUUGACAGGAUAGAAAGACAAAAGGGGAAGGGAAGGGAGAGAUGAAGAGAAAAAUGCUAUUAC